rfam:Gossypium hirsutum cultivar TM-1 chromosome 5, whole genome shotgun sequence
UGUUAAAAAUUUCAUCUAUUUGUACUGUUAAAAGCUGGCGUGGUUAACGAAAUAACUAGAUAUUGACAUGUUAUGUGCCCAUGUUCCUCAUGCUAAUCCAUAUAUAUAUUUUUAACAGCAUAAAUGAAUGAAAAUUUUAACA